rnacentral:lncRNA from 1 species
GGCAACUAUAUUCCAAUAAAAGAGUUUUUAAAAAAGCAACCCCACAGAGGGAGUGGCCCCUGGGUGUGCUGGUUUGCAUACAGGAAGUACCCUCCAGAGUAAGUGAUAUGGAAUUAGCAUUAGUGAUAUGGAAUCGCUCUGGAGUCAGCAGCCCAUGACACAGAGUCAACGCAGGCGGGUGGGGACACACGGUCACGCCUCCGGCGGCCCUGCUGAGCCCGCCCACCGUGGGAGAAAGCCCAGAGCUCCGGGCAGGUGUCUGGAGCGUCCCGUCCGGCCCCAGCUCUGCCGCUAGCCCAUCUUACAAUCUUGGACAUGUCAGCGUCUCAGACCCUUGGGCUCUUCAUCUAAAAGAUGACGGAUACUGGCUGUGUGGUCUCUAAGACCUCUUCCAGCGCCCAAAUGUUAUGACUCCCUCCUUGUAACCUGUAAUAUAGAGAAUCUACAUUCCUGUACUUGUCAAGGAACCCAAAUUAAAUCCUAAUGAAACUUAUGGAUUUCCUACCCAAAGUUACAGAGAACUGCGCUAUGACACCCAGACGCCUUCCAACAUCCCUGCCCAGGGCAGCUCUCAGAGGGCUGUUCACCAAGACCACACAAGCAGACUCUGGAUGGAAGUGAUUUUCUGCUUUGUAUUUUGGUCUGACCGCCUCCGCUUGCAGUCCACAGCAUUACAAAAGGCAUCAGUGAGAAACGCUCUGCACUUAACAGAGGCUGCCCUUGGGUAUACUGCUCACUGCUCCGACGUAGCGCCCCCUUUAGGAGGACCUGCGGGAGACCUCUCUCUGGGCUCAACGACAGAAAGAAAAGCGUCGGUCUGAACAACAGGGCAAGGGCUUUUGUCUGUGGUUUGAGCUCACACCGAGCCCACCACCCGGGCAGCCAGCAAGCUCCAGCUGGCCACCAGCCUGCCUUGCCGUCCGACCUCGCCUCUGCCUUCACAUCCAGUUUCUACCCUCUUUUCUUUGCCUCCAUAUCGGGACUUACUCAUUUUUAAAUCUCAUAUUGAAUAUAUUUGCCAACCUUAUUGACGUCUUCGGGAAUAAGAAGGGGUAUCAAGAAGAGAAUACUCCCAGAAAUGUGAGGUUCAGAGCAAAAGCCCACAGAGGAAUGACAAUGAGGCCGUCGCAGACCUACGGGCUGGAGCCGGCGAGGGGCUGCGACCACGGGCUGCAGCUUUCACGUGUGGAUCUGUCCCAGCUUCUGAAAGUGGACCCGUGCCUGGUUCCCUAAGGCCUCAGUUCUCUCAACUCCAAAAGCAGGAGGAGACGACUUUCAUUCCCAGUGUAAAAUCAUUAGAAAUAUUCUUUUAGGAGUGACUUUAAAGUGAAACAUACGUUUUCAUGCAUUUGGAGCUACAAAUAAAAACAUUUAUCAAUAGCAAAUUUGCAUAUAAUGCAUAGGCACACUAAAACAAGAGAAUCAGAAUAUUUCUUGCCCAAAUUAAACAAAGUUAUAUGCACAUUGUUGGAAACUCACAGAUUCUCUUCAAAAAAGUGCUAUGACUCACAGUCCUAAUAUCUCUGCUAUGUCAAUGAUUUAUAAAACCCUUUUGUAAAGGCAGUAUGUGAGAUACAAUUGAAAGCAACCUCUCUAAGAAGUCCAAGGGACAGACUGCAGGAGCCGUUCUGCAUGGCUGGUUUGGACUGCAGUCUGAUGCAUGCUUGUCACACAUGACUAUUGUGUGUUUGCAUUAUUGCACUUUAAAAUGGGCAAGCUCGGCAGGGGGCAGGAGGACUGGGGAGUCAUUUAAAGGGGACAGAGUUUCAGUUUGGGGAGAUGAAAGCCUUCUGGAGAUCGGCAGUGGUAAUGACUGCACAGCAAAGUGCUGCGGAGAGUGGUUAAAAUGGUAAGCCUUCUGUCACGUGUGCGCACGCACGUUAGUCGCUCAGUCCUACACGACUCUCUGCAACCCCACGGACGGUAGCCCGCCGGCUCCUCCGUCCAUGAGAUUCUCCCAUGGGUUAACAUUCCCUUCUCCAGGGGGUCUUCCCGACCCAAGGAUGGAACCCAGACCUCCUGAAUUGCAGGCAGAUUUUUUUUUACUGUCUGAACCAUUAGGGAAGCUCUAUGCUAUACAUAUUCUACUACAACUUUAAAAAGUUCUAAAAAAAAAUGUUUUAAGAGCAAACUGCUAAAUCUGAUUCUCUUCACCUAAAACUUUACCUUUCAGUUACAGUUGCGAUAAACAUCGACUUUGUCACGUUUUUCUCCCCUUCAUUUCUAAAACUGCAGGAAAAUGACUGAGCGGCCCGGUUCCCGCUGACUGUGAACCUACACUGAAGCGCGGUGCUGAAUCCAUUCUGGCUCUAACACGACCUCAGGAACAGGACGAACUGAAAACGAACGGCAACAGCUUUCACUCCAGCUUCUGACCUGCUCUUUGCGUCCACCCGUGACCUGUGACCCUUUCACAGAAUUUCACUCUGUCCCAGAAAACAGCCAACUUGCCCUUUCCCGGCCAAAACCUGUCACCGUAGCGGGUNNNNNNNNNNNNNNNNNNNNNNNNNNNNNNNNNNNNNNNNNNNNNNNNNNNNNNNNNNNNNNNNNNNNNNNNNNNNNNNNNNNNNNNNNNNNNNNNNNNACAGCCAACUUGCCCUUUCCCGGCCAAAACCUGUCACCGUAGCGGGUUCCCAGCAGCAAGCAGAAAACGUUGGUUCUCUCCUGGAACUGGAACCCGGCCCGUUCCAGCGCGAGGGCUCGCCUACCUUUCCGAGAACCAGUUUCUGCAGCUUCUGGCGCGGCAGCCCGAGCAUCCUCUGUCCCGCGUCCGGGGCCAUCGCGCGCCGCGCAGCCCGGCCACCUCC